rnacentral:rRNA from 1 species
AGUGAACGCUGGCGGUAGGCCUAACACAUGCAAGUCGAACGGCAGCACAGUAAGAGCUUGCUCUUACGGGUGGCGAGUGGCAGACGGGUGAGGAAUACAUCGGAAUCUACUUUUUCGUGGGGGAUAACGUAGGGAAACUUACGCUAAUACCGCAUACGACCUACGGGUGAAAGCAGGGGAUCUUCGGACCUUGCGCGAUUGAAUGAGCCGAUGUCGGAUUAGCUAGUUGGCGGGGUAAAGGCCCACCAAGGCGACGAUCCGUAGCUGGUCUGAGAGGAUGAUCAGCCACACUGGAACUGAGACACGGUCCAGACUCCUACGGGAGGCAGCAGUGGGGAAUAUUGGACAAUGGGCGCAAGCCUGAUCCAGCCAUACCGCGUGGGUGAAGAAGGCCUUCGGGUUGUAAGCCCUUUUGUUGGGAAAGAAAAGCAGCAGGUUAAUACCCCGCUGUUCUGACGGUACCCAAAGAAUAAGCACCGGCUAACUUCGUG